CUACGGGCGGCAGCAGUGAGGAAUAUUGCACAAUGGGGGGAACCCUGAUGCAGCAACGCCGCGUGGAGGAUGACGCAUUUCGGUGUGUAAACUCCUUUUAUAUGUCAAGAAAAUGACGGUAGCAUAUGAAUAAGCACCGGCUAACUCCGUGCCAGCAGCCGCGGUAAUACGGAAGGUGCAAGCGUUACUCGGAAUCACUAGGCGUAAAGUACGCGUAGGCGGGUUGGAAAGUCAGGUGUGAAAUCCUACAGCUUAACUGUAGAACUGCACUUGAAACUUCUAAGCUAGAGGAUGGGAGGGGGAGAUGGAAUUAGUGGUGUAGGGGUAACAUCCGUAGAUAUCACUAGGAAUACCUAAAGCGAAGGCGAUCUCCUGGAACAUUACUGACGCUAAGGCGUGAAAGCGUGGGGAGCAAACAGGAUUAGAUACCCCUGUAGUC
rnacentral:rRNA from 1 species